rnacentral:lncRNA from 1 species
UAGAGACGGGGUGACGCCAUAUUGGCCAGGCUAGUUUCUAACUCCUGGCCUCAAGUGAUACACCCACCUUGGCCUCUCAAAGCGCUGGAAUUAUAGGUGUGAGCCACUAUGCCUGUGUAAUGUCAGUAAUUUUUUAAGUAGAAUUGUUGAAAAUGAAACAAAAUUUUUAAAGAAACUCGUAUGAUUGAACUGAUCACCCCCCUGUAAGUUGCCAAUGAACUUAAUAUGUGUGUCUGGAUUCAAUAUAAUUACAUGGCUGUUUCAAUUUCUCAUACUUUGGAAGUAGGAAGGUACCUUUUUAGAUGUUCUUUUCUACCUUUCCCCAAAAUUGUCGCAGGACAUUUAACCCCAAGUGUUGCACAGUAAGUGAAGUCUGUUUCUUUGUCUUAUUUUACCCAGCAAAACAGCAGUUUCUUGUUUCCAGGUUCACCUCUGGAGUGGGACGUGACCAGGGAGGCUGGGGUCUAGCCUAGCCUGAGUCAUGGUAACCUUCUGGAGUCUCAGCAUCUUCCUUUAAAGUGCUGGUACAUCUCUGAGUUUCCUCAUAGCACUAACUUUUGCUAUAGUAACUAAGCGUGUGAGGCCAGUGAGUAAGUGCGGGGCUGGAAAUAGAGCUGUACUUGACAAAACUGUGGAGUUCAACAUUCUCACCCUGGCCCAUGUCCUGGUGUCUCCUUUCCAAGGUUGUUUCUGCAUCCAGGAGACCCACUAACUACACCUGUAGGUACCAUAGGCUGAUUCUCUGGUAUGCUCUUCUUUUUCAUCUCUCUCCUCUAGCAAAACCAGUUCUCCAGAGAGUAUUGGAUAGGAGUCAUUUACAAUGUAGUGUAUAUUCCUCAAUAGGUUCGCUUUCCCCAUGGCAAGGACACUUAAAAUCUCAUCUCUUAUCUGCAGGACUUCCUUUUUCUGAGAGCAGUGUCAAACAUCUAGGAGCAGGUGGAGAGGCAUCUUUCAGGAGCAGGAGAUUUUUCCUAUGUAUCACAUCUGGAAGGCAGGGUUGUUAUAUGACUGCAUGAUGAUAUCUUGAUCACCUAUGCCUUUAUUGAUGGAAAAUAACACCCCUCAAAGUACUCUCCAUAUAUUUAUGGGUGUUUUUCAGGAGUGGAAGACACCACUGUCUGCUUUUCCCAAAGUCAUCCCCUCUAUCCAACCCCAACAGCAGUACAUGUCCCCAGUCCAGGUACUUCCCUACUCACAGACCACAGUUUUGUUUGGGUAUCAGGCAGCUGCAUUGUUCAGAGAGCUUAGACCCCACUCCCAUAAAGAUAGAGCAUCUUAUUCCUGUAAGCCAUGCAAGGGUAUCUUGUUUCCCAGUUCAGUGGUUGGUAUAGGCACUUGGCAUAUAGUGCAAUUCUAGCUCAUGUGUUGCAAGGAGCACUGGAGAAAGAGGGUACUUCUGGAAAAGUUAUCUUUGCCAUUAAAGAGGGAUACAAGGAAGGAGUAUUCUGUUUUAAGUUUGUGUGAGCUUGUGAUGCCUAAAACAUCCACAGUCAUCUGGCCUGAGAUGGGAUAGCCUGAGACAAAAGCCAACAUACCUGGGAGAGCAGAGCAGAAAGACAGAAAGUCCUUGAUGGUGUCAUUGGAUUGGGAACCACCCAACCCUGCCAUUUCUUAACUUCCAGGCUCUUUGUUACAUGAGAAAAUAACCCUCUUUUAUUGCUUAAGCCAUUUUAGCUUGGUUCAUGUUUAUUUGGUGGAUAUGCUGGAGUGCUGCUCCCUAUUCAGAAAUAGCCUUAGUUCUUCUCUCCACAAGGGUGCUAUUUGGCAGCUUCGGCUCCUCAUACCACCUGGACAGAGACCACAAGAGCUCCUCCUGUGGGGAACCUUUUGCAAUCAUUACAUUAACCUCAGGGGAAACAGACCUGAGGUAACAACGAAACAGCUGUUAACGUUGACAAUUCAUCAUAGGCAUGGGAUCAAUCUUUCCAGGAAUUAUCCCUUGUAAUUCCUGACAAUGCAGCAGAGACUGGGAUGUAACUUUUUUUUUUUUGAGAGGGAGUCUCGCUCUGUCACCCAGGUUGAAGUGCAAUGGUUCAAUCUCCACUCACUGCAACCUCCACCUAUCGGGUUCAAGCGAUACUCCUGCCUCAGCCUCCCGAGUAACUGGAAUUAUAGGCAUGUGCCACCAUGCCUGGCUAAUUUUUGUAGUUUUUAGUAGAGACGGGGUUUCACCAUGUUGGUCAUGCCGGUCUCCAACUCCUGACCUCGUGAUCCACCUGCCUUGGCCUCCCAUAGUGCUGGGAUUACAGGUGUGAGCCAUGGUGCCCAGCCGGAUGUAACUUUUAACAAGACUUCACAGAAAGUUCAAGGAUGAUGGAGGGGAAGUGCAUAUGCACAGUAGCUCGCAACUGAAGUGUGCAUGUCUCAGGCUAUCUUCAGAGUGUCUUGGCAGACCAGCUCCUGGUUUUAUGCCUGCUUUAUCUGGGGCAAUUUGGCUAACCCCUUGCCCCCUCUGCCUUGUACCAUGCUUCUGCCGCCAGAGUAGAAAGAUUUCCCUCACACUAGUCCUUGGGCUGUACAAAGUAUAGUCCAAGUACUGGCAGCAUCAGCUUCACCUGGGAAAUUGUGAGAAAUGCAGAAUCAUAGGCCCUGCCCUAGACCCACUGAAAUAUAAUCUGUAUAAACCUUCUAGGUGGUUUGUAAGAACAUUAAAGUUUAACAAGUUAUUCUAGUCUAAGACUUGCCUCUUGUGCCUUCAUUUCCUGUUCCAGAUUUGAACUCUACCUGGGAUGACUGGCUAUGGAAACAUUUUUUUUUUUUCAGGGAAAACUCCACCCUCAUAGUGAUGUGGACUUUUGGGCUCAACAGGACACUCAUACAAUUCCAUACAACCAGUACAUAGUCUCAAAUCCAGGCUGGUCAGUUUAAAUAAAUGGUCACUAUGUGGCAUGAAAAGCCCAAUCCAGGUAAGGGCUAAGCCUUUUCAACUUUUAAAAAAAUUAUAAAAGUACCAUUAAAAUAUUAACAUUU